rnacentral:rRNA from 1 species
CAGUAGCCGCGGGAAUACGUAGGGAGCAAGCGUUGUUCGGAUUUACUGGGCGUAAAGGGCGCGUAGGCGGCGCGGUAAGUCACUUGUGAAAUCUCUGAGCUUAACUCAGAACGGCCAAGUGAUACUGCUGUGCUAGAGUGCGGAAGAGGCAACCGGAAUUCUUGGUGUAGCGGUGAAAUGCGUAGAUAUCAAGAGGAACACCUGAGGCGAAGGCGGGUUGCUGGGCCGACACUGACGCUGAUGCACGAAAGCGUGGGGAGCAAACAGGAUUAGAUACCCCCGUAGUCCCUGUCUCUUAUAC